UGGGUGUGAAGAGAGCAGAGCGCCUGAAGAAUGGCUGCUCUGUGACUGACACAUCCCACAGCAACCUGGGUUUAUCUCCACACGCGGCAGGAUACUGGGACUUUCCUGCGACAUUACGCCCUCUACAU